GAAAGGGAAGCCGAGGGCAGGUCCAGAGGCUUGGAACUCCCGGCGCCGAGGCGCAGCUUCUCUGGAAACCGGGGAGGGCGGGGCUCCGUUCCCAUGGUAACCGACAGACAAACAAACUCGGGCGCCAGGACCCCGCGCUGGAGCCGCGCGGCCGCCCAGCUUCGCUGUUAUCGUUGAAGAAUCACUUGGCUUGGACUCAGUUCACUCCCUGACAUUCCUCCUUCCUUCAUCAUGGAGAAAGCAUGUUUAACUAGAGUGUGAAGAAGAGGCUAGUGCCCUAAGAGCUCCCC